rnacentral:rRNA from 1 species
GAUGAACGCUGACAGCAUGCUUAACACAUGCAAGUCGAUGGGGAAGUGGUGCUUGCACCAUGGCAACCAUGGCGGACGGGUGAGUAACGCGUAAGGGACUUACCUGCAGGACUGGGAUAACAGGGGGAAACUCCUGACAAGACCGGAUAAUGUCAUGGAGCUGCAUGGCUUUAUGAUGAAAGGAGACGCCUGCGGAGAGCCUUGCGUCCUAUUAGCUAGUUGGUGAGGUAAUGGCUCACCAAGGCGAAGAUAGGUAGCCGGCCUGAGAGGGUGGACGGCCACAAGGGGACUGAGAUACGGCCCUGACUCCUACGGGAGGCAGCAGUGGGGAAUAUUGGACAAUGGGGGCAACCCUGAUCCAGCAAUUCUGUGUGCACGAAGAAGGUUUUCGGAGUGUAAAGUGCUUUCAGCAGGGAAGAAGUAAGUGACGGUACCUGCAGAAGAAGCGACGGCUAAAUACGUG